rnacentral:tRNA from 1 species
AUCCCUGUAGCGCAACGGAUAGCGCCUUGGACUUCUAAUCCAAAGGUCAUGGUUUGAAUCCCACCUGGGAUG